AUGUGCGACUCCUUGGUCGCUCUUAAGAAGGAGGAGGAAAAUAAGAAAAAACCUUGGUCUCGGGCUCUGUCCCCAGAUAAGGUGUUGGAGGCUGCUAGACAAGCUGUAUUGCGCCAGGGUGAAGACCCGAGCAAUAAGAAAUAUGUUCUGGGGCUACAUGAAAUGCAGUUUGGUGUGUUCAAAGGCCAGACAUUUAAGUGGGCUGCUGAAAAUGCCCUCGGUUAUGCUGGAUAUUUGGUGGCAAGUAUGAGGAGGGAAUCAGCUGAUAUCAAAGACUCCAAAAAUCACCAUGCUAAUAAAGCAGCCUUUGCAGAGUACAUAGGACUUUUCCCAGAGGGUCGUGAGGCCAUUCGUAUCAAAACUGAAAACAUGGGUUGCCCAUCCUUCCAGGAUAUGUCCCCGCAGAAGUCUCCCAGUGCCCCACAGUCCUUACCUUCAGUCUCCUCUGGCCCCCACAUUUGCAUUGUGGUCCCCAGGGGCCCGCCAAAUGACAUACUGAGGACCUGGGUUCUAAAGUGAAAAGAAUAUUUUUUGGGCUCUUACAAAAAAUCUCUGCUGCAGGCCUCUCUCUCUUAUACGCAGCAAGACCCUUUUGAGAAUUUUAAGUUGGGGAAGCUCAAUUGUUUCUGCAAUGGCCUAGAGCCCCGUGGUUUGGGGCCGUGUGUCAGGGGCCCCUACUUAAUCAGAAUCCCAAAUCUUGAGGUCCUACGACUUGUCAUCUCUGAACAGGAGACGUCCCACUUGGUAACUAAUCGUGUAGUAGUUUGGCAGACACGUGGUCCCUUUUUAGACCUUUUGACCCCUAAAUGAGGUCGUAGGGUCACCAAACUUUUCCGCCCAUUCGAGGGGCCCGUGAUGAUACGCAAAUGGGACCCUCGGGUCGAUUGGACCUUCCUAAGCCAUGUCCAUAAAGUUACAAUGGUAAAUCCAUUCAAAUAGGUUGAGAGUGGAUUUUUUUAGAAGGAUCCCAGUGGCCCCAAAUUUUGCACCAUGGCCCCCGGGGGUCCCUUCA
ensembl:lncRNA